GACGAACGCUGGCGGCGUGCUUAACACAUGCAAGUCGAACGGAAAGGCCCUGCUUUUGUGGGGUGCUCGAGUGGCGAACGGGUGAGUAACACGCGAGUAACCUGCCCUUGACUUUGGGAUAACUUCAGGAAACUGGGGCUAAUACCGGAUAGGAGCUCCUGCUGCAUGGUGGGGGUUGGAAAGUUUCGGCGGUUGGGGAUGGACUCGCGGCUUAUCAGCUUGUUGGUGGGGUAGUGGCUUACCAAGGCUUUGACGGGUAGCCGGCCUGAGAGGGUGACCGGCCACAUUGGGACUGAGAUACGGCCCAGACUCCUACGGGAGGCAGCAGUGGGGAAUAUUGCACAAUGGGCGGAAGCCUGAUGCAGCAACGCCGCGUGCGGGAUGACGGCCUUCGGGUUGUAAACCGCUUUCGCCUGUGACGAAGCGUGAGUGACGGUAAUGGGUGAAGAAGCACCGGCUAACUACGUG
rnacentral:rRNA from 1 species